CCUACGGGAGGCUGCAGUGGGGAAUAUUGGACAAUGGGGGGAACCCUGAUCCAGCCAUGCCGCGUGUGUGAAGAAGGCCCUCGGGUUGUAAAGCACUUUCAGUGAGGAAGAACGCCUGGUGGUUAAUACCCAUCAGGAAAGACAUCACUCACAGAAGAAGCACCGGCUAACUCCGUGCCAGCAGCCGCGGUAAUACGGAGGGUGCGAGCGUUAAUCGGAAUUACUGGGCGUAAAGCGCGCGUAGGUGGCUUGAUAAGCCGGUUGUGAAAGCCCCGGGCUCAACCUGGGAACGGCAUCCGGAACUGUCAAGCUAGAGUGCAGGAGAGGAAGGUAGAAUUCCCGGGGUAGCGGUGAAAUGCGUAGAGAUCGGGAGGAAUACCAGUGGCGAAGGAGGCCUUCUGGACUGACACUGACACUGAGGUGCGAAAGCGUGGGUAGCAAACAGGAUUAGAUACCCGAGUAGUC
rnacentral:rRNA from 1 species